rnacentral:rRNA from 1 species
UAGGGAAUCUUCGGCAAUGGACGAAAGUCUGACCGAGCAACGCCGCGUGAGUGAAGAAGGUUUUCGGAUCGUAAAACUCUGUUGGUAGAGAAGAACGUUGGUGAGAGUGGAAAGCUCAUCAAGUGACGGUAACUACCCAGAAAGGGACGGCUAACUACGUGCCAGCAGCCGCGGUAAUACGUAGGUCCCGAGCGUUGUCCGGAUUUAUUGGGCGUAAAGCGAGCGCAGGUGGUUUAUUAAGUCUGGUGUAAAAGGCAGUGGCUCAACCAUUGUAUGCAUUGGAAACUGGUAGACUUGAGUGCAGGAGAGGAGAGUGGAAUUCCAUGUGUAGCGGUGAAAUGCGUAGAUAUAUGGAGGAACACCGGUGGCGAAAAGCGGCUCUCUGGCCUGUAACUGACACUGAGGCUCGAAAGCGUGGGGAGCAAACAGGAUUAGAUACCCUGGUAGUCCACGCCGUAAACGAUGAGUGCUAGAUGUAGGGAGCUAUAAGUUCUCUGUAUCGCAGCUAACGCAAUAAGCACUCCGCCUGGGGGAGUACGACCGCAAGGUUGAA